rnacentral:rRNA from 1 species
UACGUAGGGGGCAAGCGUUGUCCGGAUUUAUUGGGCGUAAAGCGCUCGCAGGUGGUCCGUUGCGUUGUGCGUGAAAGACCCCGGCUCAACCGGGGAGGGUCGUGCGAUACGGGCGGACUGGAGGCCAGUAGGGGGAUGCGGAAUUCCACGUGUAGCGGUGAAAUGCGUAGAUAUGUGGAGGAAUACCGAUGGCGAAGGCAGCCUCCUGGGCCAACACUGACGCUCAUGCACGAAAGCGUGGGGAGCAAACAGG